GGAAACCAGAAUCUGCCUAAUGGUUCUCAUGAAGAUAUUGGGAUCACCAUUGAGGCCUUGGAAACUGAAGGAAUUGACUUAACAUCUCUGGUAUGUGACCCUUUAAACUCCAGCAAGGAAGGACCAUAUGUAUUUCACUUUCCACCUAAUGCUUCAAAAAAUAAGAAAUCAUAUUUUAAGAAAAAGUCUCCAGAUGAGACGCCUUCGUAUGAGCGUAUAUGUGAGGUACUCCAGCGAA